rnacentral:piRNA from 1 species
UCCUGGAAAUGUAACAGCGGGGUGAACAGA